CGCACCCUGAGGCUGGGGACAUCCCUCUUUUCUCCAGCCUGGGCUCACUGAGGGUUGUGUUCUCAGCCACUGCAGGCCCCAGCAGCAGAACACAGCAGGAAGUGAUCUUUGGAAUUCUUAUAGGAUCAUCAUUAAGAAUUAAGAAGUCAUCUAUUUGUCUAUAAAGAAUCACUACAAGACAAUAAGUACAUCUUCAUUGUUCUGCAAAGAUCUGCUCAAAAGAGAAGCAAAUCCAUCACUAACUUUGACAGUCCAUGUUGGAACCAUCUCAGGAAGAUCACCUGCUAGCUUUUAGCUUCUCCAUGAUGGCUCCUGGCACAAUUUAAACUCAGAUCUUUGACCAGCUGUGCGUCUGUGCAAGAACUGCUGCUCACUGGGAAAUAAGGUCUCCUUGCUCAAGGCUGAGAGCAGCAGUCAUUUACAGGAACAAUUGCUGGUGCAGCUGCCUGAGUGGAAAGGAGUCACACCCUGCUGAGCUGCUUCACCUGCCUUCAGGACAAAACAACAAGAUGCUACUGAGGCCACAAGAUUCUGGCAUAGUAGGAGAUGGGUCCCCUCCCUAUAUAUUCUCAGACUCUGAAAUACACGUUGGACUUUGAUCGGAA